UACGUAGGGUGCAAGCGUUGUCCGGAAUUAUUGGGCGUAAAGAGCUCGUAGGCGGUCUGUUGCGUCGGCUGUGAAAACCCGGGGCUCAACCCCGGGCCUGCAGCCGAUACGGGCAGACUAGAGUUCGGUAGGGGAGACUGGAAUUCCUGGUGUAGCGGUGAAAUGCGCAGAUAUCAGGAGGAACACCGGUGGCGAAGGCGGGUCUCUGGGCCGAUACUGACGCUGAGGAGCGAAAGCGUGGGGAGCGAACAGG
rnacentral:rRNA from 1 species